UCUCUCUCUCUCUCUCUCUCUCUUUCUUCUCACUCCGGCGAGUUCAGCGCCCAUGGCUGCGGCUGGAUCCUUCCUAUCUUCUCCCUCAUCUGUGACGAGAUCCGCUUGGGCCAUGCUGAAGGAACCACCUAGGAGGUCGCUUGGGCUCCAUUCUUUCGCUGGGUGCUCACUGCAUUGAGCCAGCUUAGGGCCCCACGCUCCUUGAGCUCGUCGCUCUACAAUAUGGCUCCAGCUCCUGAUCGGCAGCCUGCUCACCACACCUUUAGAUCCAAAAGCUAGGUGCCGUGGCUUCUCCAGGUGAGAGUUUCUAAUUCCCUCCUUCCAGUAUCUCGUGCACCCUAUAUGGAUCCCAUGGUUGCUUCACAUUCCCCCUCCGAUUCCUGGAGUGAGCAUUUCCAACUCCCCUACUGGAUCUUGAUUUUUGUUGUUCUAGAGUCUCUAUAGUUGUUCCCCCUGAUUGAUGUGUAUUGUGUCUCGAUUUGUGCUGUUCUAGGAUUCUUCUCUUGUGUUCAACUGUGUGUUUUCACCUGUGCUAUGUUGGUUUAUAGAAUUAGGCUUCUGAAAUGGUAAAAUAGCAUCUGAUGGUAUUGUGAUAGAUUCCUCACUUCGUAUUUUUGUGUCACCAUGUUAGCAUUUUGGGCAUCUUCCUGUUGCAACCUGUCAGCUACAAAGUCUUAUAAAUGAAAUAUGAUCCUAGGAAUACUACAUCAUUUUCAAAUAUGAUCCCAGGAAUACUACAACAUAUCCCUAAUGUAAAAUCACUAUCCUUUAUUUAAGCCGAAGUUAAUAUGAGGUUUUUUAAUUUUUUAUAAGCUAUCAUGCAGGGAACUUUCCAAUGAAAUAUGUCCAUUUUGACAUUUGUUGGCACAUCAAUGCAAAAUGUAUUGUUGGAAGUUUGAAGUAGGACUGGUUGCUAAAUUAUGAUCCCUUUUAUCUUGUGCAUUUCAUAUAGUGCCUUUCUGCAGUGUUUCUAUUUUAUCUUAUCUUUCCUAUCUAAAACUGUUUGCCUGUAUAUUUGCUAAAGUUGAUACUGCCUUUAAUUCACAAUCUUAAUCGUGGUUUGAAUUUUAUCGGUUAAAUGUGAGUUUCAAUGUAAUUUGUGCAUAAGGCAACCAUAAUAACCUUAAUCUCUGUACUUCACUGUGUUUUGUAGUGUUAUGUUUUCGUUUAUGUAAUUCUAAAGAUAAUGCAUGUACCCCUUUAUAAUUGUGUGUGUGUCCUGUAUGGGGCCUCUUUGCCUUGUUCUUCUACUUUGACGAUUAUUUUUGUGUUGGGGCUAGAAGGGUGUUAGCUUAUUCCUGCCAAUUCUGAGUAUUAAUGAUUGUAUGUGCCCUUACUAAUUAUAUUUAUUUUUACCUAAGAUUUUUCCCUAAGAGUAGCAAGAAAAAUCUCUUUGGCUCAACUGCAAGGGGUCACUGUCCCUUUUUUUUUUGCAAGCAAGGUAUUUUUCAAGUUUCUUUCCUAAUAUAAUUUAUAUAUUAUGUUACAGAGAAUGAUUUUGUUGUAUAUUAUGUUCAUGCUCGUUGUAAAUUUUUAGAUUGAGGGUAUAUUUAAUCCUCUUUUAUUAGCAUCUGUUCAUAUAUGCAUCUUUGUGGAAUUAUUUUUUGUUUGGUAUGACUCAUGACUUUUCUGUUAGGAUGUGCUGCUCCUUUCUUGGAUAUUUAUAUGUUUUUUUUUGUGUCACACUACAUUCUGCUAGUUAAAUUUCUUUUUCAUUUCAAUUAGGGUUGCCUAAUACUAUACUUAUACCUUAAAUUUUGGUGUAUCUUGUGUGUAUGGUCACUAUAAUUUUAAAAAAAUAUGCGUGCAACUUACAUCAAUCCUUUCUUUAUUCAUUCUGCGGCAACUAUGUCUUGCUACUAUGCACUUUUAUUGCCACUUCUAUGUUUUCUUUUAUGUGAAAUAACUUAUAUGAUUUCAUAUGUCCGUUUUCAGAUGCCACAUUGUGCCAACUCUGAAUAUUUUUUUAAAAAAACUCUUAACAUGUUGUAAAUUGAUUUAGUUCUGAAUUUAUAGUUUCUUCAUUUGUUGGUUCGAUUAACUUGAACUCUUUUUUUUGUUGGAGCGAUGAUAGUCUGUGAGUUAAAUUUGUAUUACAAAUGAGUGGCCAUUGAUAAAGAUAUUUACAAGAAUAUGAAGCUAAUGUUUACAGGCCGGGAAUAUCUUUGAACUACUAUUUUUAAUUUCAGUUAAUAAAACUGUUAGAAUAUUUUUUUUACUUCUCUAGUUCAUGGUAUAUCUAACAGUAUAAAACAGUAACUGAGCUGGCUCUAAAACACUUGCACUGAACUUAAUGCAUUAGUUUUUCCAACCUACUUUGAUUUGGCAUUGGAAAGAGUAGCUUUGUGAUAGUCGAUGCUCGUGUUGUCAAGCAGUGGGUCUCAUGGUGGCACUUAAAAGGCUCCAUCUACUUGGAUCUCCACUUUACUGGAGAUACGAUCUCUGAUUCUUUGGCAAUGUCAUAUGUUGUUCAGCCUUUAACAAUUUGCACUCGCAAGCAUGUGCCUAUCUCCUAGUGCAACUUUCUCCUUAGGCUGCUUAAUCUAUCAGAUUACAGGACUUUUUAUUGAUGGUUGUGUGGCCCAUUUAGAAAAAAAUUAUGUAAUUUACUUGAUCUUUGGCAUUAACAAUUUGUUGUCAAAUCAUUUUUCCAUGGUCCACUUAGCUAUUUCGAUUAUAUAUGUUUUAUACCUAUCAUUCAUGGAGCUACUUUCAGGAAUUGCUUUUUUCCUCACUUUGUUCAGGCUAGAAUGCCCACUUCAUUUCAUACAUGUAGCCAAUUUAGUGGCUGGGAUUUCAUUUCAUUUCUCAUUCUAGCUUUACCUUCUGCAUCCCUAAUGACUUCCUAUUUUUUCACUUUUAUAUUCUGGCUUUCCUCAAUUUACAAAUUUUACAAGAUCCUAAUGCCUUUUACGUUUGUUACAAUUGAUCUGGCAACAAAUAUUAUUAUUACAUUGGGUUUGUCAAAUUCUAUUGUUACCAGGUACAAGCUCAAUCUUCUACAUGAACAUUCUCUUAAUGAAACUAAGAUUCAAACCUUCUACUUCUAGCAACUAAUGUCUUUUCUUGCAUUCUUUUGGAAGAAAAUAUUUAUACAUAGCUGUUCUUCGCACAAGCUUAAGAUUUAUUACUACCAGUGACGGCUGAUCUAUAUCGGAUACUCUUUAUGCCAUUAAUUAUAUCAAACACACUUGGAUCAUUCAUUUUGAACUUAUGAUUGAUAAGAGAUGUUCUAUUUAGACACACACCGUUCCCUUUUGGCAAAGAGUUCUUGAUUACAAACAUUGGUGGACCUGCUGCAUUCGAGACGUGCUCCAAAUUCUGUUAUGGUAUGAUCAUUAUGGUCAACGCUUACAAUGUCUUUGUAGCCUGUUGUUGUGAUAUGUGAUAGAAUAGGUGUUGUGAUUUCUGAUAAAAGCACAAAAUUGUUCACAUGCCCACAAAUUUGUUUAACUUUUUUUUGCUUUUUAUGAUAAACAUGGACCUGUCUUGUGAUGACUAUGCAUGCCUAGCCUUAGCUGAUAUGUAUCUAUCAUUUUAAGUAGUUGAGUUGUUAAAUUUUAAUAUACAAGAACUAUUAUUCUUAACAUCGAUUUGUUUUUAUUUUCAGGUGGAAAAUUUCAGGUUUGCGUUAAAAUUUCCUGAUAUGUUUUUUUUCAUGUUAUCAGCCAAAAAUUGUACCUCUAAACCUCUGUUUUUAAGGUGUGUCUUUUUUUCCUUAUUAGCAGCCAAAAAACUGUAGAUGUAAAUGUGUGUCUUCUCAUGUGUUUAUUUCUUAUUAUAUGAGCCUAGAAAUUGUACUGUAAAUGUGUGGAUGUGUUUUUUCCUUAUUACCAGCCUAGCAAUUGUACUGUAAAUGUGUGUGUUUUCAUAUGUAUGUUUUUUCUUCA